rnacentral:rRNA from 1 species
UACGUAGGGUGCAAGCGUUAAUCGGAAUUACUGGGCGUAAAGCGUGCGCAGGCGGUUCUAUAAGACAGAUGUGAAAUCCCCGGGCUCAACCUGGGAACUGCAUUUGUGACUGUAGAGCUGGAGUGCGGCAGAGGGGGGAUGGAAUUCCGCGUGUAGCAGUGAAAUGCGUAGAUAUGCGGAGGAACACCGAUGGCGAAGGCAAUCCCCUGGGCCUGCACUGACGCUCAUGCACGAAAGCGUGGGGAGCAA